GACGAAGGAUGCAAGCGUUAUCCGGAUUCAUUGGGUUUACAGGGAGCGUAGGCGGAUUGGUAAGUCAGUGGUGAAAUCUGUGGGCUUAACCCACAAACUGCCAUUGAUACUGCUGAUCUAGAGUACAGUUGCCGUUGGCGGAAUAUGACAUGUAGUGGUGAAAUACUUAGAUAUGUCAUAGAACACCGAUUGCGAAGGCAGCUAACGAAACUGUAACUGACGCUGAGGCUCGAAAGUGCGGGGAUCAAACAGG
rnacentral:rRNA from 1 species